CCGCCCGUCACAUCACGAAAGUGGGUGAUACUAGAAGCCGGUGCGCGAACCGCAAGGACGCAGCCGUCCAAGGUAUGACUCAUGAUUGGGGUG
rnacentral:rRNA from 1 species